rnacentral:rRNA from 1 species
AGUGAACGCUGGCGGUAGGCCUAACACAUGCAAGUCGAACGGCAGCACAGUAAGAGCUUGCUCUUACGGGUGGCGAGUGGCGGACGGGUGAGGAAUACAUCGGAAUCUACUUUUUCGUGGGGGAUGACGUAGGGAAACUUACGCUAAUACCGCAUACGACCUACGGUUGAAAGCAGGGGAUCUUCGGACCUUGCGCGAUUGAAUGAGCCGAUGUCGGAUUAGCUAGUUGGCGGGGUAAAGGCCCACCAAGGCGACGAUCCGUAGCUGGUCUGAGAGGAUGAGCAGCCACAACGGAACUGAGACACGGUCCAGAAUCCUACGGGAGGCAGCAGUGGGGAAUAUUGGACAAUGGGCGCAAGCCUGAUCCAGCCAUACCGCGUGGGUGAAGAAGGCCUUCGGGUUGUAAAGCCCUUUUGUUGGGAAAGAAAAGCAGCAGGUUAAUAACCCGCUGUUCUGACGGUACCCAAAGAAUAAGCACCGGCUAACUUCGUG